GAUGAACGCUGGCGGCGUGCCUAAUACAUGCAAGUCGAGCGAACGGACGAGAAGCUUGCUUCUCUGAUGUUAGCGGCGGACGGGUGAGUAACACGUGGAUAACCUACCUAUAAGACUGGGAUAACUUCGGGAAACCGGAGCUAAUACCGGAUAAUAUUUUGAACCGCAUGGUUCAAAAGUGAAAGACGGUCUUGCUGUCACUUAUAGAUGGAUCCGCGCUGCAUUAGCUAGUUGGUAAGGUAACGGCUUACCAAGGCAACGAUGCAUAGCCGACCUGAGAGGGUGAUCGGCCACACUGGAACUGAGACACGGUCCAGACUCCUACGGGAGGCAGCAGUAGGGAAUCUUCCGAAAUGGGCGAAAGCCUGACGGAGCAACGCCGCGUGAGUGAUGAAGGUUUUCGGAUCGUAAAACUCUGUUAUGAGGGAAGAACAUAUGUGUAAGUAACUGUGCACAUCUUGACGGUACCUAAUCAGAAAGCCACGGCUAACUACGU
rnacentral:rRNA from 1 species